rnacentral:tRNA from 2 species
AAGACUUUAAGUUAAGCCAAACUAAAAACCUUCAAAGUUUUCAACAGAUAUAUUCUCUAAGUCUUG